AACCUGGUUGAUCCUGCCCUAGUCAUAUGCUUGUCUCAAGAUUAACCCCUGCCUGUGUAAGUAUAAACUCCUUUUGUACUGUGAAACUGCGAAUGGCUCAUUAAAUCAGUUAUAGUUUCUUUGACGGCACCUUGCUACUCGGAUAACCGUAGUAAUUCUAGAGCUAAUACCUGCACAAACUCCCGACUCCGGCAACGGGGAAGGGACGUAUUUAUUAUAUAAAGGCCGAUGCGGGCUUGCCCGGUGUUGCCGUGAAUCAUGAUAACUUUGUCGAAUCGCACGGCCUCAGCGCCUGGCGAUGUUUCAUUCAAAUUUCUGCCCUAUCAACUUUCCACGGCAGGAUAAAGGCCCACCCUGGUGGUAACGGGUGACGGAUAAUUAGGGUUCGAUUCCCCAGAGGGAGCCUGAGAAACGCCUACCACACUCCCAGGAAGGCAAUCAGGUCCCCAA
rnacentral:rRNA from 1 species